ACACACGGCGGGUGCUAACGUCCGUCGUGAAAAGGGAAACAACCCAGACCGUCAGCUAAGGUCCCAAAGUUAUGGUUAAGUGGGAAACGAUGUGGGAAGGCUUAGACAGCUAGGAGGUUGGCUUAGAAGCAGCCACCCUUUAAAGAAAGCGUAAUAGCUCACUAGUCGAGUCGGCCUGCGCGGAAGAUGUAACGGGGCUCAAACCAUACACCGAAGCUACGGGUAUCACGUAAGUGAUGCGGUAGAGGAGCGUUCUGUAAGCCUGUGAAGGUGAGUUGAGAAGCUUGCUGGAGGUAUCAGAAGUGCGAAUGCUGACAUGAGUAACGAUAAUGGGUGUGAAAAACACCCACGCCGAAAGACCAAGGUUUCCUGCGCAACGUUAAUCGACGCAGGGUUAGUCGGUCCCUAAGGCGAGGCUGAAAAGCGUAGUCGAUGGAAAACAGGUUAAUAUUCCUGUACUUCUGGUUAUUGCGAUGGAGGGACGGAGAAGGCUAGGCCAGCUUGGCGUUGGUUGUCCAAGUUUAAGGUGGUAGGCUGGAAUCUUAGGUAAAUCCGGGAUUCCAAGGCCGAGAGCUGAUGACGAGUUACCUUUCAGGUAACGAAGUGGUUGAUGCCAUGCUUCCAAGAAAAGCUUCUAAGCUUCAGGUAACCAGGAACCGUACCCCAAACCGACACAGGUGGUUGGGUAGAGAAUACCAAGGCGCUUGAGAGAACUCGGGUGAAGGAACUAGGCAAAAUGGCACCGUAACUUCGGGAGAAGGUGCGCCGGUGAGGGUGAAGGACUUGCUCCGUAAGCUCAUGCCGGUCGAAGAUACCAGGCCGCUGCGACUGUUUAUUAAAAACACAGCACUCUGCAAACACGAAAGUGGACGUAUAGGGUGUGACGCCUGCCCGGUGCCGGAAGGUUAAUUGAUGGGGUUAGCUAACGCGAAGCUCUUGAUCGAAGCCCCGGUAAACGGCGGCCGUAACUAUAACGGUCCUAAGGUAGCGAAAUUCCUUGUCGGGUAAGUUCCGACCUGCACGAAUGGCGUAACGAUGGCGGCGCUGUCUCCACCCGAGACUCAGUGAAAUUGAAAUCGCUGUGAAGAUGCAGUGUAUCCGCGGCUAGACGGAAAGACCCCGUGAACCUUUACUAUAGCUUUGCACUGGACUUUGAAUUUGCUUGUGUAGGAUAGGUGGGAGGCUUUGAAGCGUGGACGCCAGUCUGCGUGGAGCCAUCCUUGAAAUACCACCCUGGCAACUUUGAGGUUCUAACUCAGGUCCGUUAUCCGGAUCGAGGACAGUGUAUGGUGGGUAGUUUGACUGGGGCGGUCUCCUCCUAAAGAGUAACGGAGGAGUACGAAGGUGCGCUCAGACCGGUCGGAAAUCGGUCGUAGAGUAUAAAGGCAAAAGCGCGCUUGACUGCGAGACAGACACGUCGAGCAGGUACGAAAGUAGGUCUUAGUGAUCCGGUGGUUCUGUAUGGAAGGGCCAUCGCUCAACGGAUAAAAGGUACUCCGGGGAUAACAGGCUGAUACCGCCCAAGAGUUCAUAUCGACGGCGGUGUUUGGCACCUCGAUGUCGGCUCAUCACAUCCUGGGGCUGAAGCCGGUCCCAAGGGUAUGGCUGUUCGCCAUUUAAAGUGGUACGCGAGCUGGGUUUAGAACGUCGUGAGACAGUUCGGUCCCUAUCUGCCGUGGACGUUUGAGAUUUGAGAGGGGCUGCUCCUAGUACGAGAGGACCGGAGUGGACGAACCUCUGGUGUUCCGGUUGUCACGCCAGUGGCAUUGCCGGGUAGCUAUGUUCGGAAUAGAUAACCGCUGAAAGCAUCUAAGCGGGAAACUAGCCUCAAGAUGAGAUCUCACUGGAACCUUGA
rnacentral:rRNA from 1 species